rnacentral:sRNA from 1 species
AUUUCUAACCUUGUCAACAUUCUCAGAGUGGUGCUGCCAGUGGACUUCACAUAAUUAUAUUUGAUGAAAUAGAUGCCAUUUGUAAAGCAAGAGGCUCUGUGGCGGGUAACUCUGCUGUUCAUGACACAGUGGUCAACCAACUUCUGACUAAGCUCGAUGGUGUGGAGCAACUCAAUAAUAUAUUGGUCAUAGGUAUGACCAAUAGAAAAGACAUGAUUGAUGAAGCCCUGACCAGGCCUGGCAGGCUGGAGGUCCAGAUGGAGAUUGGUCUCCCAGAUGAGCAUGGCAGAGUUCAGAUCCUCAAUAUCCACACAGAAACAAUGAGGAACCACAAAAAGUUGGCUGAUGAUGUAGACAUCUCAGAGCUGGCUUCUCUGACCAAAAACUUCAGUGGUGCAGAGAUAGAGGGUUUAGUGAGAGCUGCUCAGUCCACAGCCAUGAAUAGAUUGA